ACCCGCUGAACUUAAGCAUAUCAAUAAGCGGAGGAAAAGAAACCAACAGGGAUUGCCUUAGUAACGGCGAGUGAAGCGGCAACAGCUCAAAUUUGAAAGCUGGCCCUUUUAGGGUCCGCGUUGUAAUUUGUAGAGGAUGAUUCGGCGAGGGCUCCUGCCUAAGUCCCCUGGAACGGGGCGUCAUAGAGGGUGAGAAUCCCGUAUGCGGUAGGUUGCCUUAGCCAUGUGAAUCUCCUUCGACGAGUCGAGUUGUUUGGGAAUGCAGCUCUAAAUGGGAGGUAAAUUUCUUCUAAAGCUAAAUACUGGCCAGAGACCGAUAGCGCACAAGUAGAGUGAUCGAAAGAUGAAAAGCACUUUGGAAAGAGAGUUAAAAAGUACGUGAAAUUGUUGAAAGGGAAGCGCUUGCAACCAGACUUGUCCGCAGUUGCUCAGCCGGUCUCCUGACCGGCGUACUCUUCUGCGGCCAGGCCAGCAUCAGUUCGGGCGGUCGGAUAAAGGCCUCGGGAAUGUAGCUCCUCUCGGGGAGUGUUAUAGCCCGGGGUGGAAUGCGACCAGCCUGGACUGAGGAUCUCGCUUCGGCAAGGAUGCUGGCGUAAUGGUUGUAAGCGGCCCGUCUUGAAACACGGACCAAGGAGUCUAACAUCUAUGCGAGUGUUCGGGUGUCAAACCCGUACGCGUAAUGAAAGUGAACGGAGGUGGGAACCCGCAAGGGUGCACCAUCGGCCGAUCCUGAUGUCUUCGGAUGGAUUUGAGCAAGAGCAUAGCUGUUGGGACCCGAAAGAUGGUGAACUAUGCCUGAAUAGGGUGAAGCCAGAGGAAACUCUGGUGGAGGCUCGCAGCGGUUCUGACGUGCAAAUCGAUCGUCAAAUUUGGGUAUAGGGGCGAAAGACUAAUCGAACCAUCUAGUAGCUGGUUCAAAGGGAGUCCU
rnacentral:rRNA from 1 species